CAAAUGGUAAAUGGCUUCUACUUUCCCGAGAUAUCUUUAUGAGAAAGCCAAAUAAAAUCCAAAAAAAAUAGAUGAUAUAUGAUGCAUCGGCUAUCAAACUAUCAAAAAUAUGAUUGAUUGAUUGAUUUCUUGUCGUUGUAGACAUUAAUUUCGCCGAAAAUUUCACGAUUAUAUUCAAUAAAUAUGAGAUAAAGAAAAGUCUACUUCACGAAGCCACAAACGUAACCAUCGUAUUCAUCGCUACGUUGGAUUACCCCGAUGCGAAGGAUUGUGUUGCUCGGAUCCACAUCUCUCGACAAACUUUGCAUUAGGUGACAUGCCCAGCAGCCGUGACGUGGAGCGUGCAGAACGUAAUGGACGAUUUAGAUCAUCGAGAAGGAGGGACAGUAUUGGAAGUGAUAUAAAUCGUCACAAUUUUGAAAAUAUAGACAAGAGACACAGGCGACAUGGAAAGAGUAAAAGUUCAGGAAAAAAGAAGAAGAAAAGAUCUCGUGACAAAUCAAUAGACAGUGUUCCGACUGUAGCGUCAUCUGUAAUAAAGCCGCUGGUUGAGUACUCCGAUGUGAGCAGCGAAGAUCUUUCGGAACCUGAGGCUGGAGAAAUACAGUCUGAAGAUAGCAGAGGUAACAGUUUUACUGAUGGGGAUCUGCAGGAAUCCCAUCAUCAAAGACGAUACUACGGUGGCAGUCCAAGGCAAAAUCUCGGCGCUUCCCCCAUCAGCAUAUCUCCUUCACCUCCAGCCGGAGGUGGGCACGCAAACAGAUAUUUGUCACCCAACGACGAGCUCCAGCGAGUUAGAUCACCGAUGCCCGAGGAAUAUGAAGAAGAGACGCGUCACUACCCUAGAAAGAAGGAGAAGAAACACAAACGGGAAAAAAAGAAGAAGAGAAGCGUUAGCCCAUCCUCCAGCUCUAGUAAAAAGAAGAAGAAGAGGUCCAAGCGACAGUCGCACAGUCCUAGUCCCCAAAUGCCUCAAGAAAUAACCAUUACCCCUGACCAUGAUAAACAGAUGCAUCGGUGGCAAGAUUGUCCGCCAUUACCUCUGAAGGAUAGUACAUCUCCUAUAUCGCCAGCUACACCUCAAGGGCAGAGAUCUCUCAGUGACAUGGAAUUGGAAUCUCCGCCUGAAGAGGCCAGAGAUCUAACUUCACCCUCUUCCGUAGGGCUUAUAAGGCAUACGGAGUCCCCUCACACACCUCUACUACCUCCGAGAAACAUAACGCCGGAAGGAAAUAGGAGCAGUCAUAUAUCACAGAAGCAUAGCCCAGACAGACGAAAACAUAGUCCAAGUAUGCAUGCUCGACGUGGCAGUAUUAGCCCCAAUUCCGGACACGGGGGAGGACGCAGACAAGGCCAUCCUCACAGCCCUAGCCCAGCGUCAAGGAGAAGGGACCACAGUCCGCCUAGGAGAAGAGACUUUAGUCCCAGUCCUGUGAGCCACAGAAUGAGGCAUAGUCCUAGUCCCACUCAAAUUCGACGAAGGGAAUUCAGCCCCAGUCCUGUGUCUCACAGACGGAGGGGAGAGCCGCUACCUAGUCCUACACCAAGUAAGCGAAGAAGAAGAGACGACUCAGACAGAAGGCACAGACAUCACGAUCAAGACAGGCGAGAUAAGAGAAAGUCGCGUGGAACUAGGAGUCCUGUGGGUAGCAGCAGAUUGCAGAAUCCAGUUUCUCGUUCGCGAUCGCGAAGUCCUGGGAGAUGGAGGAAAAUGCCGUCGCGAUCCAGAUCCAGAUCCAGGAGAAGAAGUCGCUCGCCCAAAAAAUCCCGCUCUCCAAGUAAGAUGCAUAAACCAGCUAGGAAACACAAAUCCAAGAGCCCAAGACCAUCCAGGAUACCAUCUCCACCUCCGCAUAGAACCAGAACUCGUAGUCCGACAAGUAUAGCUGCCAGAAAUCUCAGAGGUCGGGCAAAGAUUAGCGAGACGAGUCUCUUUGCUGAACUUGUUAAGGACAGAAAUAUGAGGGAACUCGCCUUAAAGAAACUUCAAGAAGCCAAAGAGAAGGCAAUUAGUCAAGACGAAGUGCAAAUCAUAGAAGGAUCAGAUGACAAAGAAGCGAGCAACACUUCGUCAGAGCAUAAAAUAUCCAACGAAAUAAAGGAAUUAUCUUCCGACAGCAGGGCACAUGCUAAUCUUGUCUCAGUCACCGAAGACGGUGCUGAUAUUGACAUUGUAGACAUACCUUUUCCUAAUAUUGUGACAUCUUCCCUUGGAAUGACCGAAGAUAGCAAUUCAAUGGCAAGCAAAACCCCACCUAUACCUGCGUCACUGGCUACAACUCCGUCGACACCGGUAGCAAAUCUUACCCCAAUACCACCGUCAACUGUAUAUAAUUCUCCCGUACCAAACACUACAAACAAUUUUCCAAUGGCUGUUGCUGGCAAUGGUGGCACAAUUUUUCCCUCCCCAGUCCCUAACUUGGCAAACAUUUCACAAUCUGAUCCUAACGGAAUCGCAGGUCCAUCGCAAGUACCUGUUUUGUUACCUGGUUCCGUUCCAGGACAAGUUCUACUUCCCAAUCUUUCUAUUCCUCCUCCUCCAAUUCCAGUUCCUGCUCCUAACACUGCCAUUUCUAAAUUCAACACACCCAAUAAUUUAGUUCCUCUCAAAUCUAUCGAUCCACCGAAACCUCCCAUAGUUGCAUUUAAAACUACGAAAUUGUCAAAGUUACCGCUGCCACCAGGAAUCAAUCAGAAUGAUUUAGAGAGCAUAGACUCUCCGCCAAGCCGCUCACCCAGUCCACCUACCAAGGGGCAGAAUAAAUUCUUAUCAACCACACCGAAACCUCCCACAAAAAAGAGCAUCAAAGAUCUACCAAUGCCACCUGUUGUUCCUGGAUCAGAAGACUUGAGUGGAGAGGAAGAUCCGAAUGCUACGCCACCGCGCGGAAAACUUGAUCGGAUAACCCCCAAGCCAAAACUGAAGAGGCCGAAAAUAUUGAAGAGACGAGGCUCUCGCAAUUGUCAUAUGCCAAUGUCAGCUUCUGGAGGCAAAGAUUGGGGUGAACGAUGCGUCGAUGUGUUCGAAGUUAUAGCACAGAUUGGCGAAGGUACUUAUGGUCAGGUCUAUAAAGCUCAAGACAAAAGAGCUGCUGUUCUUGUUGCCCUAAAGAAAGUACGUUUGGAAAAUGAGAAAGAAGGAUUUCCGAUAACGGCAGUUCGGGAAAUUAAAAUCCUGCGACAAUUAAACCAUAAAAAUAUUGUCAACCUGAGAGAAAUCGUUACCGACAAGCAAGAUGCUCUAGAUUUCCGAAAGGACAAGGGUUCAUUUUAUCUCGUUUUCGAGUACAUGGACCAUGACCUAAUGGGAUUACUGGAAUCCGGAAUGGUAGACUUUAACGAAAUGAACAAUGCCAGUAUCAUGAAGCAGUUGCUGGAUGGUUUGAACUACUGUCACAGCAAAAAUUUCUUACAUCGAGACAUCAAGUGUUCAAAUAUAUUGAUGAAUAACAAAGGUGAAGUAAAACUGGCUGACUUCGGUCUUGCUAGACUGUACAAUGCGGAAGACAGGCAGAGACCUUACACCAAUAAGGUCAUUACUUUGUGGUAUCGACCACCUGAAUUACUACUUGGAGAAGAACGUUACGGACCAGCCAUUGAUGUAUGGAGCUGCGGUUGCAUACUUGGUGAACUGUUUUCCAAGAAGCCUCUUUUCCAGGCGAAUGUGGAGAUGAUGCAGCUGGAAAUGAUCUCGCGAGUUUGCGGUACACCGACACCAGCCGUUUGGCCAUCUGUGAUAAAAUUGCCUUUAUGGCAUAUGCUAAAGCCCAAAAAGUCGCACAGACGACGCCUGAGAGAGGACUUCUCCUUCAUGCCUGCAUCGGCUCUGGAUCUUCUAGAUAAAAUGCUGGAACUAGAUCCGGACAAACGGAUCACAGCUGCUGAUGCUCUGAAAAGUGCUUGGCUGAAAAAUAUCCAACCAGAACAGAUGCCAGCACCCCAACUCCCGACAUGGCAAGACUGUCACGAGCUUUGGAGUAAGAAACGCAGACGUCAGUUACGAGAACAGCAGGAAGUUUCCGGAGGGAAGAUCCCGCUCCUCCCUCUCCCUAACAAAGGUGGCCCUCACAAGGCUGUUGAGGACUUGUCGGAUGUCGGGGGGCAGUAAUAAUAUUGUGGCCGAAUGAUAAAAGGGGAAAAAAUUUAUAGCGCUAGUAGAUGUGUGAAUAGGUCAUCCAAAAGGUUAAAGAUGGAGGCAGGAUAUAAUUCCCAUGGAAAUCGUAUCGGUGCUGAACCUCCGUUUGGAGGUGAAAGUUUGUUUAAUCGGAGUGCUCCAUUUUUAGUCUCCCCAUCGUCGUACUACUACA
rnacentral:misc_RNA from 1 species